rnacentral:rRNA from 1 species
UACAGAGGUCUCAAGCGUUGUUCGGAUUCAUUGGGCGUAAAGGGUGCGUAGGCGGCGCGGUAAGUCGGGUGUGAAAUCUUGGAGCUUAACUCCGAAACUGCAUUCGAUACUGCCGUGCUUGAGGACUGGAGAGGAGACUGGAAUUUACGGUGUAGCGGUGAAAUGCGUAGAUAUCGUAAGGAAGACCAGUGGCGAAGGCGGGUCUCUGGACAGUUCCUGACGCUGAAGCACGAAGGCCAGGGGAGCAAACAGG